GCCUCCGUAACUCAGUCGGUAGAGUGCUUCCCUCGUAAGGAAGAUGCCGCAGGUUCGAUUCCUGUCGGGGGCUC
rnacentral:tRNA from 2 species